ACUGGGUCUCAGGGUACUCCCUCUCGGCGGCCUUCCCAACAGCCGCCCUGGCAACCGCCAGGAGGCUACUGGCCUCAGUCCUACCUGCCUCAGCCUUUCUAGACUCAUAAGAGUCACGAAAUCACCGAGCCUGACAUACAUGUAGACGUAACCCAGAUAUGAGAGGAAUGACACUGGAGCUGCGAGCUCGAGAACGAGAGAAAAGCAUCACCAGUAGAAGGAACAUAAGCAAAGGUGGGGCAGGAGAAAGAGGCACAGAGCCCGAUGAGCUUGAUCUCAUGACCAUGAGAUGAUGACCUAAGCCAAAAUCAAGACUCCAUCGCUUAACCGACUGAGCUACCCAGUUAUCUUCAUCCAAGCCAUUGGCUUUCAAGGCCUGUGGUUGUUCUGUUCAACAUAGUAGCCUGUGGACAUCUAUGGCUGUUGAACCCUUGAAACGUGGCUAGCACAAAUUGUGAUGAACUCUGAUGAUAAAGUACACACCAGAUUUCAAAGUCUUCGCAUGAAAAAAGGAAUGAAAAAAUUUGGUUAAUAAUUUUACAUUGAUCCCAUGUGUAAGUCAUAGUAUUUUGAAUAUACUGGAUGAAAUAAAUAUCCU
rnacentral:lncRNA from 1 species